GGCAGAAGCUGAGCGCUGGCUUCUGGUCAUACAGCUACUUAGUGACAGAGAGAAGGACUAGCCACGAGAUUUUCGACUCUUCUUUUCCUGUUCCGCUGGGUUGCUGAGUAGGGGCACACAGUGGACUGAGGCAUCUCCUGGCAGGUUUGGAGAUGCCUCGGACAAGACAGGUGUGAUUUGGGGCGGAGGGGUGAGCAGGAGGGAGGCAGAAGCUCUGGGUACAAGCAUCCCAGUCCAGUGGUGGAGACUUAAGAAAAACCCGGCACUGUGUCCUUAUGGACCUGGCUUUCCAGACAGUGCCUAGAAGGUGGAAGGACCCUGGGAGGAAGGAAAGCUCAGCCAGGACCGGGAAGAAACCAGCAUCCCUGGGGCGCGUUCCUGGAAACGUCUCUUACUGCAGCAAGAUCUCUUACUAGAAGGCGCAGACUGGAACCCUCUCCAGCUUCGCUGACAGAAAAAAGGAAGUGGAGCAAACACCUACAAAACAGACAGGAAAAAGGAAGUGGAGCAAACACCUACAAAACACCUUCAGGACUGGCAGUUCCAAGCCUCAGCUAGCAGCCUAUAAAUUUACCACCUUCACUAUCAAGAUAAGAAGACCUUGUCUCAGAGUGCUUAAGUGAUGUGAUCAGCUACAUAGCUUAUAGGUGUUAAAACAAACUGGCUCCGGGAUCCACACACACUCUCACCUACUGGGCUAGACACCUUCAAUGACCCUCUGUUUGAUGCUGAAAGUACAACUUAGAGAGAUUAAGUGACUUGACCAGGCUACACAGCUGACAAAAAAAGCUGAGACUUCAGCCCUGGAUCCUUCAUGCUAAGCUCUUGGCAACAAUGCAAACCCAAAAGUGUUGGGUCUUCAGGGAGGACCAACCAUAAUGAUGCCUUCUUACUGCUCAUUCUUGAUUUGCACGUGACUCUGCUCCACUCAUGAACCCCUGUUUUGCCACUAGGUUCAGCUGUGGUUGAUUUUCAGAACCCACAGGGACGAAAAAAAAAACCAUAUUCCUAUUUGUUGCAAUUGUUCUUGGGGCUUCCCAGGUAAUGUAGUGGUAAAGAACCCGUCUGCCAAUGCAGGAAAUGCAAGAGAUGUAGGUUCAAUCCCUGGAUCCGGAAGAUACCCUGGGAAAUGGCAACCCACUCCAGUAUUCUUGCCUGGAAAAUUCCAUGAACAGAGGAGCCUGAUGGGCUACGGUCCAUGGGGUCAUGAAGAGUCAGACACAGAUGAGCACGCACGCACAGCACAGUGGUUUUUAGUAACGGCAACUCUUAGAAUCACCCGGGGUUCUUUAUAAUCUGUUGAUGCCAAGGCUCCACCUUAGACCAGAAUAUCUGAGGUGGGGGACAAGGACACCAGUAUUUCAUAAGAACUAUCCAGGUGAAUUUAAUGUGCAGUCAGGGCAGAGAACUACUGAUUUAACCAACCCCAAACACAGAGGGGACACAGAGGAUGCUGAAAAACAUCUUUACUUUUUCCAUUAGCUUGCCUUUCUCCCAGGCAAACUCUGCCCUAAAUGGAUGCCUUGGGGUCUCUUACUCCUAAUUUGGACUUCCCUGGUGGCAGAGUGGAUAGGAAUCCACCUGCCACUGCAGGGGACACAGGUUCGAUCUCUGGUCUGGGAAGAUUCCAAAGCCAUGAAGCAACUAAGCCCACAUUCCACAACGACUGAAGCCUGUGUGUCUAGAGCCUAUGCUCCACAACAAGAGAAGCACUGCAGUGAGGAGCCCACGUGCCGUAGCCAAGAGCAGCCCCUGCUCGCCACAGCUAGAGAAAGCCCACACACAGCAACGAAGACCCGGCACAACCAAAAAUAAAUAGAAUUAUUUUUAAAAGUAGAAGAGAUUCUUACUCCUAGCUUGUAUCUUUGGUUUCUUCUCUAACCCACCCCACCUCAUCAUUUCUCCCCAGAGUUCCUGGCUCCAUCCUUGGAGGCUAAAGUGGAUCCUCACAGAAGAUGAGUUCAUCUUUUAGACUCUUCGGUGUGAAGCAGCUGUGAGACAGAAAAGUCCUUCUCUUGCUAGUCUUGACAGAUGAGGAAGGGCAAGGAUGAGGAGGGUAAAAGAGGCAGACACGACCGUCCUGCUAUAAUUAUAGCUGAGAAGUACUGUGACAGGAAGGUGGAUAACAUCGUGAGCAGGACAGCAGGAGCACUUGCGGGUAGAUCUCUUCUUGGUUCAUAUUUCUACCUUUAAACCAGACUGUGAUACCGAGUCACGCAUCACAACUUGGGGGACACUAUCUAAGUCACUGAAAACUCCACCAGCUCCUCUCCUCUGCCCCAUCUGGUCACAUGUUCUUCACCGCAUGUCGAUGCUGGUUCUUCCCCAGACAUGGAGACCUUCCCAUACUCUCUACAAAAAGCUGUCAUCUGGGCGGAAAGUUUUAGAACACACUCAUCUUUAAGAAUGGACUUCCCUAGCGGCUCAGACAGUGAAGUAUCUGCCUACAAUGCAGGAUCCCUGGGUUUGAUCCCUGGGCUGGGAAGAUCCCCUGGAGAAGGAAAUGGCAACCCACUCCAGUACUCUUGCCUGGAAAAUUCCAUGGAUGGAGGAGGCUGGUGGGCUACAGUCCAUGGGAUCACAAAGAGUUGGACAUGACUGAGCGACUUCACAUCUUUAAGACAGAGUAGGUAAGAAUGACACCACCAGGGUGGGACCUUUUGGGAGAAAUGUAGAAAAUAACUCAGUGUGCAUUUUCUAAGCUUUUACUUAGGGUCAGGAACUAUGAUGGAAGGAAGACUCUGGACCUAUGGCCCUGAAUAUAUCCCACAGAGCAGGGAUACUCAAAUACUCUCUUGGGGGCUGCCAGUUAUCCAGAAGGGUCUUCCAGACAGGCUAAUCCUCUGAAGUAGCAAGGAUGGCGAAAUGAGAGUACCUGCACUUCUGUUUCUGAAAUGGCUAAUGACACGGCACUUCAAGGGAAUCAGUGCCUUUCUUCCAAUUUGUCCUCCUAAACUCCUUUAGCAGCCACUGGAAAUUUGGAUAAAGUAGACAGAUGGCACGUAUACUCUCCUGUCAAAUACAGUAGUGUGAACCCUGAAGAAGUUGGAGAGACCUUUAUGCAUUAUAUCCUCAGGGCAGGGCCUUCACAGGUCCUCAGGAAAACUACAGUGCUUUCUGCCACAUUAACAGCCUCUCACUUCCAAUCCUUCAAGAGGGAGAGCUGGAGAAGAUGCAGGACUGACCUUGGACAACGUGAGGAAGUCACGAGGUUAAAUAAGAAACAUUCAUACUGUGAUUGUUUGUAGAGAGGCUUCUAAGCGUCAAAACAACUCUCUGAGGCCAUUAUACCCAUUGUACAGAUCACAAAGGCAGGC
ensembl:lncRNA